rnacentral:sRNA from 1 species
GCCAAGCAUGAUGAUAUAUGCUUUUAAUCCCAGCUACCAUGAAGGCUAAAGCUAGAGGAUCUCUUGAGCUUGGGAGUUCUGACCAGCAGUGUGCUAAGCCACUCAGUGUCCAAACUAAGUCCAACAUCAGUAUGGUUAGCACUCAGGAUCAGGAAGCUACCAGGUUGCCUAAGGAAGGAAGAAUUGGCCUAGGUGAGAAACAGAUGAGUCUUCCAUAUCAAUCAGUAGUAAAACUGGACUGGUGAUUGGCUUCCAGCCUGGAGACAAAGGGAGAUCCAGUAUUA